GACAUAGGUGGCAAACGUUAUCCGGAAUUACUGGGCGUAAAAGGUGCGUAGGUGGUUUAAUAAGUUAUUGGUGGGAAAUCGGGGCUCAACCCCGUGGAAGUCGGUAAUACUAUUGAACUAGAGGAUCGGAGAGGUUAACGGAAUUCUAUGUGUAGCGGUAAAAUGCGUAAAUAUAUAGAGGAACACCAAACGGCGAAGGCAGUUAACUAUUUGAUUCCUGACGUUGAGGCACGAAAGCGUGGGGAGCAAGACGG
rnacentral:rRNA from 1 species